rnacentral:lncRNA from 1 species
GACAAUUAAAGUGGUAUCAGAGCAUGGUUUAAAGAUUAGAGAUUUUGAUUUUAAAGCUUUGGAUUUUAAAGUUUUUGGUUUUAAAGUUGUUUUAAGAAAUCCACACUGACACUGCGUGGCCCGAGUUAAGUUAAGUUAGGUUUGAUAGAAUAGAAUACGUGCAUCUGCAUAUAGAAUUUGGAGUUGUUUAGACUUGUUUUGUUUCUUCUUAUAGAUCUUAUGGGAGCUAUAAGAACUCCUGUUCCCAAUAAU